rnacentral:rRNA from 1 species
AAUCUUCCACAAUGGGCGAAAGCCUGACGCAGCAACGCUGCGUGCGGGAUGACGGCCNNNGUGGUNGUAAACCGCUUUCAGCANGGANGAAAAUGACGGUACCUGCAGAAGAAGCCCCGGCUAACUACGUGCCAGCAGCCGCGGUAAUACGUAGGGGGCAAGCGUUGUCCGGAUUCAUUGGGCGUAAAGAGCUCGUAGGCGGUUCAGUAAGUCAGGUGUGAAAGCUCCGAGCUCAACUCGGAGAGGCCACCUGAUACUGCUGUGACUUGAGUCCAGUAGAGGAGCGUGGAACUCCUGGUGUAGCGGUGGAAUGCGCAGAUAUCAGGAAGAACACCUGCAGCGAAGGCGGCGCUCUGGGCUGGAACUGACGCUGAGGAGCGAAAGCAUGGGUAGCAAACAGG